UCGGAAGCUGAAGGCAGCUAAGGCAGCUUUUGAUGCAAGCAUUGAUGAUGGCAUAACCUUCUUUGAUAUAGCUGAAGUCUACGGUGCAGCAGUAUGAAAGCAUUUUCUAUUCUUCUUUCUCCUAGAGCUUACCUGAUGACAUGAAUAAAUAUUUGAAUGAAAACUUAUGCAUUUUUCCUUUCUGUAGUUCAUGGGAGCAGUGAAUUUACAAACUUUACUUGAAAGGCACCUGACCUGAUAAUUCUCUCCUUUGAUUUCAUUUCUUUUUAGGUUGUUUUCCACUUCUGUGUUUUGAGAUAUUUGGAAUUCCAAUGCUAUCAUUGGCACUUUCUGCUUGACUGUUGCUAAAUUGGCAUUAAAUAACAGCUUCAUCAAGGAAAGGCAACAAAAAGAAUCAGUUGAGGUAGCUGCGGCAACAAAACUUGCAGCUCUGCCUUGGAGGUUCGGUCGGGGGAGUGUCCUUUCUUCUCUCAAAUAUUCACUUUCUCGUCUUGGGCUUUCUGCAGUUGACCUCUACCAGCUUCAUUGGUCUGCUUGUCAAGCCUCUUCCUGCUGCUAUUCCUUGAAAAUUAUCCGACUACAGUGGAUACAUUGAUGGACUUGGAGAUGCUGUUGAACAGGGCCCCGUAAAGGCUGUUGGAGUCUCAAACUACAGCAUCCAGAAAAGCAUCUUCGAGAUGCUUAUAAUCAACUCAGAAAGAGGGGAAUUCCACGAGCUUCAAACCAAGUAAAUUACAGUCUCAUAUACAGGAAUCCUGAGGAAAAUGGUGUGAAGGCUGAUUGUGAUGAGCUGGGGAUCACUUUAAUUCCAUAUUCUCCUAUUGCUCAAGGCAUGAUUCAUAUAUUUGGAGUUUCUUAUAUUGCACACCUUAUUUUACAAUAUUAUAAACCAGUUGAACUUAUUUCAUUGGCUUUGACGCCUAUCUUGAAGUAGGCCGUGCAUGAAAUGUAUGCAGGGCUCGAAAAUGGAGGAGAUUAUAUCUUUGAAGGGAGUAGUGAGGAGAUUAUAGUAUGAUUCAUGUUUCAUGAAGAAGCUAUAUACUGUUUUUUGAGAAAAAAAGGAAAUAACUUGCCAAGGAAAAAUAUUCCGACACUUGGGCAUGAAGUUACCAAAUAUUACUAACUUUCAUGCAGGUGUCAAGCAGUAGUCCAAUCCCUAUCACUUAACAUGAAUCGGAACCUUAGUGCAGCACUAUGUAAAAGAUGAUAGAGUUUAUUUAUGCAAGGCCGAAACAAGACUUAUAGUUUUCCCACAUCCUGCAGGCUAAAGUAAAACUUCAUACAGUCGUCUGCUUCUCAUCAGAAAUGAAAAGCGUCUGUUAGCAGGACAGGUAUUUCUUCUUCUUCUUCUUCUUCUUCUUUUCACAGGUAGCUCUGAACUGGUUGACAUGUCAGGAGAAUGUUGUGCCCAUCCCUGGAGCCAAAAAUGAGGAACAGGCUAAGGAGUUUGUUGUUGCUCUUGGGUGGAGGCUCACAGAUCAAGAGGUUGCGCAGCUUCACUCGCUAGCAUCUAAAUCCAGACAAGCUGUUGGAUUACCUCUUGAUAAAUUGUAAUUUGACAGUUAUAAGAACAUGGUAUGAUUCCAGAAAACCAUAUGAAAUAUCUUGUCCUGUGCAUCAUUGCUUAUGUAUCACUCCAAUGAAACAACCAUGACAUGAAAUAAUAGAUUCCAAAAAUUGCAUAAAUUUACAAAU